UCGAGCGUGCCCCGACGGCUUCGGCUAUCGGGGAAAGCGGCAGACGGCUGAGUAACGCGUGAGUAACCUGCCCUCCGGUGGGGUAUAACCUCGAGAAAUUGGGGAUAAUCCCGCAUACGCUCCCGAUGCUCUGGUGUCGGGAUGAAAGCCUUCGGGCGCCGGGGGAGGGGCUCGCGUCCUAUCAGGUAGUUGGUGGGGUAACGGCCUACCAAGCCGAUGACGGGUAGCUGGUCUGAGAGGACGACCAGCCAGAGGGGGACUGAGAACGGCCCCCACUCCUACGGGAGGCAGCAGCAGGGAAUUUUGGGCAAUGGGCGAAAGCCUGACCCAGCGACGUCGCGUGGGGGAUGAAGGCCUUAGGGCUGUAAACCCCUUUUCCAAGGGAAGAGGAAGGACGGUACCUUGGGAAUAAGCUCCGGCUAACUACGUGCCAGCAGCCGCGGUAAUACGUAGGGAGCUAGCGUUACCCGGAAUUACUGGGCGUAAAGAGAGCGUAGGCGGCUAGGUAAGUCUCUUGUGAAAGCUCCCGGCUUAACUGGGAGAGGUCAAGGGAUACUACCUGGCUUGAGGGCAGUAGAGGAAGGCGGAAUUCCCGGUGUAGCGGU
rnacentral:rRNA from 1 species